CACUCAAGCAAUGGCAGCAGAAGGAGGGAAGGACAGAAGAAAUGGUAGCCAGAGAGGGUUGGAGGAGAAAUCCAGGUAGAAAUCAAAGCAGGAUGUACAAUCGCAUGAAGACAAAGUUCAUAUCCGGGACUUCAAGAGAAAAGAGUUCUGGGGCUCACAGCCUGUCGAGGCCAGUGUCACACAGAUAAUAAGAGGUUGACAUGGCAUUCAAGCUUAAUCAUUGGCUAGGCCACACCUUUGCCCUCUUCACACAUCAUCUCCAUAGGUCUUACUGCUGCAGAAGCCUUCAACAUUUGAACUCUAGGACAGCAGAGCCCGUUCUGAUGGGAAGAAAGGAGAAGGAAUGGAUAACGUCUGGGGUUGCAAAGACACCGAAGCUGUCAAGAGAAAAUUAAAUUUACAGUCAGAGAGUUUUGUUUUCUCGAGUGUCCUUAUAAAAUGCAAAAGAGGCUCCUGGCAUCACCAAGGCAAUUCAACUGGUUUCCUAAACUGGCAGGAUUUUCUUCGAAGAAGCCCUCCUUCCUUUGCCAAGAGAGUGUAUUAAUGACAAGGACUGGACCUAAAGGGAACUCAUUCAGAAGAAAACUGCAUUAAAAGAACAUUAAGGGCGA